GUCUUCGUAGUGUAGUGGUCAGUACGCUCGACGCGUAACCGAGAGGUCCGUGGUUCGAUUCCCGGCGAAGGCG
rnacentral:tRNA from 1 species